AAUCCUGUUGGUGACUUACGCUGGCGAAGUCUCACUUACAUUGACCUAAGUUCUUCUUGGAUUGAGGCUUAGUGGCAUGUGUGGCAGUAGCAACACUCUCUCUGUCAGGUGAACAGCUUGGCAGCCAGCAGGGCAGCUUUAUUUCCUGACAAGGAUAGCUGUGGCUGCCAAUCCCCCUGUCACUUCAGUGCUGCAAGAUCCUACUCCUCUGCUGUUACCUAGCCUCUGCUACUGGCGCACCAGCAAACAGGAUCAUGGCCACUGUUACUCUUAAACAAGUAUCCAUGCAAAACAAAGUGGUGAUGAUAAUGGAAAGAGGUAGGUAAACAAUGAUCUGAGAAAACAGCCAUGUUCCUCUAGAAAUUUUGUGCUAAUCAUUUAGCAUAGUAUACUGGGCACACAAAUGAAUUAAAGAGCUGUGGAUACUCAGGGAAUGCAGAGUAUUGUAAGUACUAUUGUGAAAACAUUUCCAUCCCUCUCAUGCAGCAGCUGGUGCACCACUUGUAUUUUUGGUGAGGUUAGCUAGGCUGUUUUAAUAUGGUUAUACUUGACUAAGAGUUUCCAGGGUUUGACUGAAAUCCCAAGGAAGUGUUAGCAUAUACCGUAUAAUUAAGAAAACCCAAUGAAUAACAGCAUUGUUUGUAUGGUCUCUGGGUUCCAGUUAGCAGUCAUCCUCUGAUUGUUAAAUGGUGUCACCCAUUUACCCCAACCCAUUCUUCAGCAUCAAUUAAGAACUUUCCAAAUGUUAUUUAAGUACCGCAUUAACGAAGGAAUUGUAAGUUUUAUUUUUGAUCACUAAAGCAAGGAAUGAGAGAAGGAAGAUGUUAAUCUAACAAUGGAUAACUGAACAUUAGGCUGUGAUGCAGAAAAUAAUCUGAAAUUGUAAUAUUUCAUAGAGCUGACACUGGAAGCUAAGCUGCUCUUAACAUGAGGUGCAGUGGCUUUAUAUGAAGAGAUUGCUCUUCCCAAACACAUAUGUGAACCAGAAAUUUAGACUGCUGCUGCAUCCAAUCAUAUAUUGUAACAUCUUCAUCUAACCAGAAAUCUCCAAAUGUUCAAACAUUGCUUUCAAAUAAGAACUUAUUUUGCAAGCACAAUUUGAUCAAUUACUUCUGACUGGAAGCUUUAAGACUUGUCUGUAAACAACGUGGAGCUGAAUUUGCAGAUAAGUUGCUUUUUUUUUUUUUUUAGAAAAAGAACAUCCAAAUGCAGGUUGAUUUAAGAAUUUUUAAAACAUUUAAAAAACAUUUAUAUAGACAAAAAAGAAAAAAAACAUCAUUUGUCAGUUUGCAUUACAGACAUGAUAAAAUGGCUUCAUACUUUGUACAGAUAAAGUAGUACUUUGUUUCAAGUGAAGUUAAAAUCAAAUAUAUUGUUCAAAUCUUUUUCAGGAGUUUCUGAUCAAGCACUAAGGAAAUAGAAAGUAGAGAGAUAUAGUCAAAUUCUUACUAAUCACCUGUAGACAGAUUAAAUCAUAGUCAAUCUGUAUCUUGAUAAUGAGCAGGGGGAAAAACCUUCAACAUAGUUCUGUAGUAAUGGAAAAAUAUUUGUACAAUCAUCUUAUCCACCUGGUUGAUUUUCUCUCUGUCUUCUUUUGCUAGAUUAUUGAUUUUAUGAGUGGAUUUAUAUCUGCUCUUCCCAACACCAACAAAUUAGAUAUGGAGGAAGAUAAACAUGUUUUCUGUCACUAUUGGCUUUUGAAUUCUUUAAGCACAAUCCUAUACUGCCUACUCAGAUGUAAACUGAGUUCAAUGGUGCAUAUACUUUAUGUACAUUUUCAAACUUUAAUGUUCUGCUUAGUUUAUCUUUCUGGUAAAUAAAAUUCUUCGUGAUCUAUGUGCCUCACACAAAUUGAUAUUUGCAUUUGUACAGAAACCCCAUCAAAAUAUUCUAGAGUUUGGAAGAAUCCUGAUUUUCUCCCACGUGGGCCAUGAAUAACCAACCGAAAAACCAGUUACAGAGAUGCAGACUUAUGCCUAGAACACAUAAUUCUACCUGACUUCAAUUCAGGAAGAGGAAGUGCCAAAUUACCAGGACUGACUAAUGGAACAGGAGCAACUUGAGAAACUGCAAGUAGCUUCUGGAGUGAGAGAAUUGACUGUCUGCAAGGACGUUGCCCCGGGUCACCCAGAUGUUUUGAUGUUUUUACCAUCCUUGUGGGAGGCUUCUCUCAUGUCCCGGCAUGGAGCUGGAGCUUAUAGACGGAGCUCAUCCGCGCUCUCCCCGGGUGGGAUUUGAACCUGGCAGCUUGCAGAUCAGCAGCCCAACCUUCAAGUCACAAGGCUUUAACCCACUACUCCACCGGGGGCUCUGGUGAUAUUAUCUGGUAUGAGUAUUAUAUUGUAUAAUAUUAUAAUAUUAUUAUCAAUAUUAUAUGUAAAUACAAUAUAUUAUUAAAAUGAUAUAAAAAUAUAUUAUAAAACUGAGGGCAGGGGCCAGGUAAAUGACCUUGGAGGGCCGCAUCCGGCCCCCGGGCCUUAGUUUGGGGACCCCUGCCUUACAGGCUCCAGAUUCUAUUUGACAUUGGAUAUUAAGCGAGGUAAGCUUUGGUUAGCACAGUGGUUCUCAACCUGUGAGUCCCCAGGUGUUUUGGCCUACAAUUCCCAGAAAUCCCAGCUAGUUUCCAGCUGUUAGGAUUUCUGGGAGUUGAAGGCCAAAACUUUUGGGGACCCACAGGUUGAGAACCACUGGAUUAGCACAUGGAUGGGAGACUGCCAAUGAAUACCAGGUGCUCAGAGUUGUAGCCGGGGUGUGUGUGUUAAGGGUUUACUCAUGAAUUUUAACUGGUUAACCAAAUCCCCAUGAGUGUCCACUGAAUUUUAUCGAUGGAGCCUGAUUUCUAAAUUAUUUUGCAUUAUGUAACUAGUCUUCAUGAUUCGCUAAAAAUAGUUUCAACACCCCCCCCCCCCAUUUUUUUCUGUCUAUGGCCCUGCAGGUGUUGUAGACUAUAUUUCAGAAGAAGGAACUAGCAAACCCACAUCUGUGUAAUCCUUGCAUACGAAAACCCUAUGAAAAUCAUGGGGCUGCCAUUAAGCCAAUAAGAUAUUUGAAAGCAUAUACACAUGAACUCAAAAAGAACAGAUAGGUACAUAUAUCAGAACGGAAAAGAUCAAGGUCAAACCUGAAAGUGCAGAAAAAGUUACAUAGAACUUUCAGAAAUACCGUGUUUCCCCGAAAAUAAGACCUCCCCAAAGAAUAAGACCUAGCAGGGGUUUGGGGGGAUUGCCAAAUAUAAGGCCUCCCCUGAAAGUAAGACCUAGCAACUAAGGCUGCAGCAGAGUUCCAUUGGGAAGCAUGGCUGCAGGGCUAAAGCAGCACUCAUACACACACCGGAGGGAGGGAGGGAGGGAAAGUGCUUGCUUUCUGUGCCUCCCUCCCUCCCUGCCUUGCCUUGCCUUGCCUUGCCUGUCCCCCAGCCGCGGUUUGAAAAACCUUCCGUGGCUGCUGCUGCACUGCCGUUUCUUCCUUCCUUCGGUCUCCCUCCUGGCCAUGCUGCCUUCUUCCCAGAGGCUUCUGAUUGGCUCCUGGA